UAAAAAAAUGCCAUCUGCAGAGGUGGGGUGAGUUUCUGUGUGCGGACUGCUCCGGAUGAGGGGGGCGCAAGAAGCAGAAAGGAGCCUCCCGUCUGCCACUGGCACCUCUUGUUCCUAGGGGAUGCUUGUGACCACUGUGUCCCAGUGAAGAUUGCUCCUCAGCCCAGCCUGUCCCUGGACAUCUGCACUCACCUUCCCCGGGCGGGUCCAGGACUCUGAGCGGGGCUGGCUGCUGACUCAGCAGCCCGGAGGCUCCCAGGACCUCCUAGAGGUAGAAGGGAAAGUGAGAAGUCAGAGGCAGCCAGGUGCUCAAAGGCAGGGGCCCUGCCUCAGCAGCUCCAUCUCCUAAGUCUCUUGCAGCUUGAGUUCAGAAAUGCCGUGGGGCCACUCAGGACUGCUGGCUUCUGCACCCAGCCUCAAGCCUCAGAACAUCCUUUCACAAUACUCAGACUUUAGAAUGCACCUGUGAAUGAUCAGAUGGAGACAACCUGCAUGUGUUAAGAACAAUCUUCUAGCAUCCAGUGCUUUACACACAUUAUGUCCUUUAAGCCAGAAACUCCAUGAAGCAAAGGCUAACAUCCUUUUGAAGGGAUGCGAGCUGAGGCAUGGUGAUAGGAAGCUUUGCAACUGGGAGAGUGCACCUGACAUUUGAGUCCAGUGUGAACCCAAGGAGCCUCCCUCAGACCCUGUCCUCUCCUAGGAUGAGGGGGUCUCGGGCCUCUCGCACGGAAAGGACAUCAGGACCUGGGAGGAGCCCAGGGCCACCGCCCUCUAACAGGCAGAGGCUUGGAGCAAGAAACACUCAGAACUGCUCUGCCAAGCACUGCAGGACUCUGAGAUCACUUAUCCCCCAGCUGGGGAAGAUCAGUGCUGGUCCCAGCACCUCCCCUCACCAGGGGUGCUACUUCUGUCCUAGCCUAGUCCCCUGGGACAGGAGUUACCACUGCUGUGAGUUCCCUCAGCUCCUCCUGCAGCUGGCCCUGUUCCUGGCCAGCUCCUUCCUCUCAAGCUGCUCUGACUACAGGCUGCUUGUCAUGUUGAUGUUGUCUUUUCUCUACAGACAAUGGUAGUCAGUGCCACCCACACAGCCAGACCCAGGACCCCAAUUUGAUUGUCCAUAGUUCAGGGCAGGAUGGACAAUCAACCCUGUCACCAGAAGAUGCUCCAGCAGCAUUCUGGCUCCCAGGACACCUUCACAAUGGAGGGCUACAGUGAUCCAUUAUAUUGGACUGGGAAGCACCCAGAGGGGCAAGUAUGAUGCUCCGCUGUGAAGGACCUAGCAGUGAGGAGCCCAGUGAUUGGAGGCCCCGCACCAGCCUUAGGAAGUCAAACUUCUUCUGGACCAGCUGCACCUUGAGCUCCUGGUUCUGCACGAAUAAGCAUCAGAUGGUAUUGUGCUGUUCUGGAUGUGCUGCAGGAUGUUCCUGUCCUCCUCCAGCUGUGGGGGCCACAGCUCUGCCUUGUAGUCCACAUGAUGCAGCUGCUCCUCCUGCUCUCAGUUCUUCUCACACAGACUCGGAUUUACCUGUACUUGUUGUGGAACUGUCCUGAGAUGAGUUCCAGCUCCUUCUGCAACCACUAGAGCUCACACAACAGCCACCGUUCCUCCUCAGAUGGCCCCGCUGAGGGCUCCAGGGCUGGGGGCACAGGCGCUGCAUGAUGGUCCUCUGCUCCUCUUCCCUUGAGACCCAGAGCUCUGCCUUGACCUCCACCUGUCUCAGCCACUUCUGUGAUCCAGACCUGCCCCUCUGUUGGAUGGCACUCGGGAGCAAUGUUCCCCAGAGUUUUGGUCACACCUUGGAAAGACAUUCAUGAAAGAGAACUUUCAGACAUACUUCAGAAAGUGGCAAGGACUAUGGAAUAAAUACAGUCAAGGCCAGAGGAGGACUAUUUUGAGGAAUGCUAUUUUUGUGCUGUUGGGGAUGCAAAUAUAAAAGUUUCAUGAACACACCCGUUUGGAGGCGGCAGAUCCUUCUUAAAGAAAAACAUGGAAUCCCAUCUUCUAGACAGAGAAAGUGGCUGGGCAGAAGGCUAGCAGGGCCCCAACGGCUGCAGCACCCACGGUGCGGCUGGAGGUCAGGGGAAGAGAAGGUGCUUGGUGGCGGCGAUGUUCCAUGGCCCAGAGCCUGCGCCACAAGUUGCUGAGGCCGGGUUGAAGGCCAGGAAGAGCGCAGGUGCAGGACAUCUAGUGCAGCUUUGGGAGGGAGCUGAGGACCGGCCUCCACAGGAGCGCGGAGCGGUUUAGGAGGCGCCUGGUCCCGCAAGGAGAAGCAGAAACGCCAAGUUGCUGAAGAAGAGCUGGCUGGAGGCAGAGAAGCCAUGGCAAGGCCAAGCUCAGCUACAUCACCCUGGGACACCUCGGACCAUGGGGAAGACACACCAGAACAUCAAGGGCAGCUGGGACAGCACGGAGGAGGCACUGGCCCACCAGCAGCACUCUGAGGACUAAAUGCAGGUCUGCAGCCCCACCCCUGAGGGUGUCACUGCCUUCUGAGCCUCCUGCUGCCCUCAGCUUCCCUCGCAGCUGUGUGCCCCAGGAAAGCAGGAGCCACAGUGUCCUUGACUGCAGCUGAGAAGAUCAUUUCCUGAGAAGGAGAGGAGGCAGGCAGCACCAGGUCUGGGGACCCAAAGGUGGUGGCAGCCAGGCCAGCUUUUGUUGAGGAACAGUCAGCAGCAGCUUGAGGAGGGAAGGUUCAGAGCAGUGGAACAGUGACUCAUGUACAGGCUGGACUCUCUCUCUGGAACCUGGAAGAAGCCCAGGUGGAUGUCAGUGAGGACCCAGACACCCCAAAGCAGGAGAUCCAAGAGGUGAGGGACACGGUCAGCACCAGGUCAGACACUGGCUUUCUGCACAGGAGUGAGCCUUCAUUGUAUGCUUUUGGCGGGAUGAGAAGUUUCACGGAUUAGAGACUUUCCUCCUCUGGGCCCAUGCUUUAAAGACCCUCAGCAGACCCUGGACAUGCUCACAGCCUUCAAGGCCACUGACCGUGGCAUCCAGCAGGCGCUACAGGAUGGCUUGGCUGGGGACGGGGUCAAUGUGGACCCCCAUGGAGGAAGAUUCUAAUCCUGUCUGCUGUCAACU